rnacentral:lncRNA from 1 species
UCUUCCAGGUUUCCAAGAUGCCUUUCCAGACUAGAACCCAGACAUGUGAGCCGCUGGCCGGACACAACACCCUGGGCCAGGUUUAAAUAAUUUUCUACUACAGCCUGGUCUACAGAGAGAGUUUCAGAUGCAAUAUGACAAACUGCUUCAAGCUCCUGCUACUGUGACUUUCUUGACAUCAUAUAUUCUUGAACUGUAUGUCGCAUCUGCUCUCGACCAGCAAGAAUGACACGACACAGAUUCUUCUCAACAGCCUUUAUUGCAGGAACGCCUCGAUGCUUCUAUGGGGACCCCGGGCGCCCAGGGAACCCUGCUUAUAUGCACCCCAGCACAGGAGAAGGCUCCGUGGCCCCCUGGGAUUGGUCAGUCUGCCGGCACCCAAUUUGCAUACACCCACUCGGGAGGGGUUGGCGCCAAAUUCGAGUUGACACCUGUGCAGUGGUGUUGUUUAUGACAACAGCA